rnacentral:lncRNA from 1 species
UGGUCGGUUGGAAACCCUAGCAAUGCCAGUGCCAGUGGACCUGUUAGUGUGGCUAAUGACAUUGUCUUUGCAGGCUCCCCAGAUUGGAAGGGUUCUAUUUAUGCAAUUAAUGUAAAGAGUGGUGAAAUUGUUUGGUCCUUUGAGACUGGUGCUACUGUUUAUGGUGGAAUGUCAAUUAGUGAUGGAUGUAUAUACCUUGGAAAUGGGUAUAAUGUUAGUCUUGGAUUGUUUUUUGGGAACCACACUUCUGGAACCUCGCUUUAUGCAUUUUGUGUCUAAGCAAAAUACAUCACCACCAAAGUAAUAAUCUUCCAUCAUUUGAUGGAAAAAAAAGAAACUUAGUGAUGGACUCAAUGUUGGAUUUGAAUCUAUAUAUUAUAUAUUAUAUAUAUUAUAAAAAGAAAAGACGUGUGACUAUAUAUUAUAUAUUAUAGCCUCUUGAAGUUUUUUAAUUAUAUAUAUAGGUACACUUCUAAUUUUAUUAUAUUCCUGCAAUCUGAUCUUGAGAUCGAGUAGAACAAAUUUCUCAUAAUAUUAUCCAAAACAAAAGUCAAAUUAAAAAAAGAGAAACGAUACGCUAAGUUUGUGGGGGUAUGGGAGCAAUCACCUUAUAAUAUUACACUAACCAAAUAAAAGAAAAUUCAAAGAAAGUUAGUCACCGUACUUGGAAGAAAUUUGGCAAUUCCAAUAGGUGGUGAUAGCUGCCACUAUAGUGCUUGUUUUUGGAGCCUAUAAAAGGAGGCCUUUGGUGCAUGAGUUAGAUGCAUCAAUUGAAGCAAUGUCUAGGUCCUAUAACGAUAUAUGUGCACAUUAAAGGUGGAAAACACUUUGAAUACUUUCACGGUUACAUUUGAGUUGCAUCAUUAUUUGAAGCAAAUGGCCAGCUUUGUAAUCUCUCUGUUUGUUUUCUGCCUAUUAGCAAUUUCAUUAUCCCAAGCUCUUAACGUAAGGAUAUAUACUACAAUUUUAAUUUAUUUUCCUGUACUAUAUACUUAAUUACUUUAAAUUAAUUUUCAUUCUCAUCGAUUUAUGAAAAUUUUUUGUUCUUAUCCAUUAGAUAAAAAUUCAACUAAAAAGUCAAAUUUUCAUGUCAAUAACCCUAGCAAUGCCAGUGCCAGUGGACCUGUUAGUGUGGCUAAUGACAUUGUCUUUGCAGGCUCCCCAGAUUGGAAGGGUUCUAUUUAUGCAAUUAAUGUAAAGAGUGGUGAAAUUGUUUGGUCCUUUGAGACUGGUGCUACUGUUUAUGGUGGAAUGUCAAUUAGUGAUGGAUGUAUAUACCUUGGAAAUGGGUAUAAUGUUAGUCUUGGAUUGUUUUUUGGGAACCACACUUCUGGAACCUCGCUUUAUGCAUUUUGUGUCUAAGCAAAAUACAUCACCACCAAAGUAAUAAUCUUCCAUCAUUUGAUGGAAAAAAAAGAAACUUAGUGAUGGACUCAAUGUUGGAUUUGAAUCUAU